AACGAACGCUGGCGGCAGGCCUAACACAUGCAAGUCGAGCGAGGACUUCGGUCCUAGCGGCGGACGGGUGAGUAACGCGUGGGAACGUGCCCUUUGCUUCGGAAUAGCCCUGGGAAACUUGGAGUAAUACCGGUUGAGCCCUUUGGGGGAAAGAUUUAUCGGCGAAGGAUCGGCCCGCGUUGGAUUAGGUAGUUGGUGGGGUAAUGGCAUACCAAGCCGACGAUCCAUAGCUGGUUUGAGAGGAUGAUAAGCCACACUGGGACUGAGACACGGCCCAGACUCCUACGGGAGGCAGCAGUGGGGAAUCUUAGACAAUGGGGGAAAAUCUGAUAUAGCCAUGCCGCGUAAGAGGUGAAGGCCUUAGGGUUGUAAAGCCCUUUCAGAUGGGAAGAUAAUGACGGUACCAGCAGAAGAAGCCCCGGCUAACUCCGUG
rnacentral:rRNA from 1 species